AUUGAACGCUGGCGGCAAGCCUAACACAUGCAAGUCGAACGAGUGGCGGACGGGUGAGUAAUGUCUGGGAAACUGCCUGAUGGAGGGGGAUAACUACUGGAAACGGUAGCUAAUACCGCAUACCAUCGGAUGUGCCCAGAUGGGAUUAGAUAGUAGGUGGGGUAAAGGCGCCCCUAGGCUACGAUCCCUAGCUGGUCUGAGAGGAUGAAGAGCCACACUGGAACUGAGACACGGUACAGACUCCGACGGGAGGCAGCAGUGGGGAAUAUUGCACAAUGGUCGCAAGCCUGAUGCAGCCAUGCCGCGUGUAUGAAGAAGUCCUUCGGGUUGUAAAGUACUUUCAGAGGGGAGGCGUGACCCGCAGAAGAAGCACCGGCUAACUCCGUGCCAGCCGCCGCGGUAAUUC
rnacentral:rRNA from 1 species